rnacentral:sRNA from 1 species
UUGUAAGAUGAAACAUUUAUGUCUAUACAUAUUAUAAAAGACGCAGACUGAUUAUAUCAUCGUGUCUGUUUAUAUGCAAUAUAGAAGAACCUGAUAAAUUACUCAGGUUCUUUUUUGA